GCCAGGGAGAGGAAAACGCUAACGCCGUGGCUACGAGACGUGGCCCUCUGCAGAAACACCUCCUGCUCCAUCCCGUCCUGCUGGAGAAGCUGGGGGCCGGGUGUACCCCAUGGCGAGGGGCCCCCCCCCCGGGUGCGCGUCCCCAGCGCGGGGCGCAAGGCGGGGGCCGGGGCGCACGGCGCUGCUCGGGGUGAGCGGAGCAGCUGUGUUUACUUUCCAUCCGCUGGAGGGAACAACAGGGGAUUUUUUUUUGGGUUUUGUUUUGCUUUAUUCCAUUUCAUUUUUCUUUUUUUUUUCUUUUUUUUUUUUUUUCGAGGCUUUGCGUGUCCUUCACCAGCCAGAAACCGUCACAUAAACAUCCGGCCGCUCCGCCAGGCGCGGCGAGGGAGGACGCGUCCUGCCUCCCCCCUCCGGCCUCCCCCUCCGGGUCCGGGUGGCACCGGAGGGAUCCCCCUGGGCUGGGCAGGGUUGGCACGCUCGGAUAAUGCCCCCAGGGUCCCCGGCACGAGGGACGUGGGGGACAGAGGCUGUGCGCUGGUGGCGGCCGGCUUGGAGGAACGCAGUCCGGAGCUUCGGAGAGAUUUCGGAGCUCGUGCUGUGCCGGGGCAGGAGGCGCGGGGAGGCCCUGAGCACCUCUGCCAAGCCUUAAUCAGCAGCUCCCCGGGCCGGAGGUGUUGCUUCAAUCUUUCCGAGGGUUCAGGGAGGUCAAAGACUUUUUCCGACGGUUCCCAUCGGGCUGCACCUUCCCCAGAUUGCAUCAACGCGCCUGGCCCCGUGGUUAGCUCAUCCCUUGGCCGGGAUGUUCCCGUCCUCUUUGCAUUUAUUCACCCAUCUGCCACCGAUCCGGGGGGGCCGCUUCGGGUCUGCCCUCCUGGGGACCCCCGGCUGGAGCACCUGCGGUGUGGGUGCCCCCUGGAUGAGCAUCAGAGCUGGGGGGUCCCAGCAGCAACUUGAGCCCCAGCUCUGCCCUCCCAUGCAGUCCUGACCCAAACGUGACCCAAAAGAGCAACAAACACAGAAAGAAGCCGAGGCCCCCCCUGGGAUGGGCAGUUUGUGGCUGGAUGUCACCGUGGCACUCGGUGCCCUGCGCUUCGGCUGCCUGCAGGCCCUGUGCUGGCCAGCACCCGCUGGGCACCCCCAGGCAGGACAGGGUGCAAGCAGCCCGUGCCGUGUCCCCCCCCGGUGGGGCAGGGGGCCAGGAGGGGGCCAGGGGAGGCGCGGGGUCGGGGGCAGCCACCCCCACAGCGCCCCGAGCCCCAGGGGAGCCGCUGAGGAUCCAGGAGCUUUUCUGGUGAAGACAGCGCUGGGGCAGAGUCAGCUUACGUUUAUUUUUUCCUCUAAUAAAAAACUAAUAAAGGAGAAAAUGAAAAAAUAA
rnacentral:lncRNA from 1 species